AUGUGUGUUCCAAAAGACCAAGGAGGAAUGAGUUUUCGUGAUAUACAUUGUUUUAACCUGACCUUGUUAGCGAAACAAGCUUGGCGUCUCUUGGAUAAUCCUGAAUCAUUUUGUGCAACAAUCCUAAUAGCCAAGUAUUUCCUGGAGGGCGAUUUGAUGAAAGCAAUACUAAAAAAGGGCUCCUCUUUUACUUGGCAAAGCAUUAUGGCAGGAGUGGAUUCUCUCAGUGAUGAAUAUAUAUGGAGAGUGGGAACAGGAGAAAAUAUUGACAUAUGGAAAGAUGCAUGGAUCCCAAAUUGUGAAGAUAGAAAAAUCAUUACACCUAGAAGAGGGAAUCACAUGACGAAAGUUUCUGAUCUUAUUGACCUAGUUACGAAUUGGUGA
rnacentral:rRNA from 1 species